ensembl:piRNA 21ur-11476 ncRNA
UUAUUGUUCAAAUCAUUCAAA